rnacentral:rRNA from 1 species
AUACUGAAGGUCCAAGCGUUAAUCGGAAUCACUGGGCUUAAAGCGUACGCAGGCGGAUUUGUAGGUAUUUUGUGAAAUCCCACGGCUCAACCGUGGAACUGCAGAGUAAACCACAAAUCUUGAGACAAGUAGGGGUCAGUGGAACUAUGAGUGGAGCGGUGAAAUGCGUAGAUAUUCAUGGGAACGCCAAUGGCGAAGGCAACUGACUGGGCUUGUUCUGACGCUCAGGUACGAAAGCGUGGGGAGCGAACAGGAUUAGAAACCCUAGUAGUCC